GAUGGUUUAACAUUUUGCUUUGGAAAGUGAGGAUAGCUGACACCUAUUUUCCAGGUGCCCUAGAGGAGUUAGAAAGAGUUCCAUUUUAACAUCCUGUUAUAAUCAUGUAUAUAAACUAAUAGUUCCAGAAUAUGCACACUAUAGUUAAAUGACAGCAUGUGUGUUAUAGACUACAAAUGCUCAAGGAAUACAGAGAAUGGAUACAUUAUUGUAGGCUGGCCUAGUUAGAGAAGUUUCUGAGGUGUGACAGACUUGAAAUGGAGGGAAUGAAGGUCUGUGAUAAAAGACAAGAGAGUGUGCCAGGUAGGUGUGUGUGUGUAUGUGUGUGUGUGUGUGUAGGGGUGAGGCAGUUCAGACUGCACAGGUAAAAGCACUGAAGUAGGAAUGUGCAUAGUUCACAUGGGGCCCUUUGUUUGGAUCUUUAUAGUUCUUGGUAAAACUUGAUCUCUAUCCACUUCCUUGAUUUUUCUUCUCCUUUGUCUUUCAGGGUUGAUUUAUGACUGCAGGAUGGUGUCUUGACCACCUACUGCCUUUAUUGAUGGAAAGUAACACCCCUCAAAGAACCUUCCAUGUAUUUAUGGGUGUUUUUCAGGAAUGGAAGACACCACUGUCUGCUUUUCCCAAAUUCAUUCCCCCAUCCAACCCCAACACCAGUACAUGUCCCCAAGUCCAGGGGAAACUGCAUCCUCAUAGUGAUUGUGGACUUUUGGGCUCAACAAGACACUCGUGCAACCCCAACACCAGUACAUAGUCUCAAAUCCAGGCUGGUCAGUUUUAAAAAAUGGUCACUAUGUGGCAUCAAAAGCCCAGUCCAGAACAGUCCUGGUCCUGAAUAUUCCAGACAGAGCAUGAGUGGAUGAAAUGGAGUUUCAUGGGAUUUCUCUUCACAUAGAUAAUAUUAGCUGAAUCCAUACUCGGUCUCAGGUAUUAAACUUAGUAUUUUACAUGCAGUAUUUCCUGAAAUGUUCACAAUUACUCUAUAGAGAGGUGU